rnacentral:rRNA from 1 species
CCUACGGGUGGCAGCAGUGAGGAAUAUUGGUCCAUGGGCGCGAGCCUGAACCAGCCAAGUCGCGUGAGGGAAGACGGUCCUAUGGAGUGUAAACCUCUUUUGUCGGGGAGCAAAAGACGCCACGCGUGGCGUUCCGAGAGUACCCGACGAAAAAGCAUCGGCUAACUCCGUGCCAGCAGCCGCGGAAAUACGGAGGAUCCGAGCGUUAUCCGGAUUUAUUGGGUUUAAAGGGUGCGCAGGCGGAAGAUCAAGCCAGCGGUAAAAUUGAGGGGCUAAACCGCUUCGAGCCGUUGAAACUGGUUUUCUGGAGUGAGCGAGAAGUAGGCGGAAUGCGUGGUGUAGCGGUGAAAUGCAUAGAUAUCACGCAGAACUCCGAUUGCGAAGGCAGCAUACCGGCGCUCAACUGACGCUCAUGCACGAAAGUGUGGGUAUCGAACAGGAUUAGAUACCCCUGUAGUC